AGCUCCUAAAAACAAACAUUUCAAUCAGAUUUAACGCCAUAACACAAUCACAAAAUCUCUUGGUUGAUCCGGCAGUGACAAAUUAAGCUAAUUGGCAGUGGUCUGAGAGCCUAGUAACCAACAAAGUGUUAAACAAAUCAAAAUCCUUAAAAGAGCCACUGUAAGAAUAUGUUUAACGUAAAUGCACAACGCAGAGGACUAGAAUUAACGAUCAAUGGAAACAGCGGUUUUUGGUAAUAGGGCAUCAAUGGAAAUAGUUGGUUUUCAGUUCAACAUCUGUUAGUAAUGUCAGUCCUUAACUCAUAGCUAUGCGUGGCACGUUCUCAUUGGUCCAACCUGAAAUAAGAUACUUGUUAUUUGGCCAUUGGCCCAGUUUUAUUGCAAGGAAUUCUAAUUGGUCAACCACAGGCUAGGGCUGGGUUAUAAACUACAUCCUGUCCUUUUGUUCUGUGGAGAAACACUGAGGCCAGGUAAGCAUGUACACCCACAUCCCUGCAUGAUUUGUCCCACUUUGAAUAAGAAUAAACAUAUUUUCCUCCCCCUGAUUUGUUUUGGGGUCUGUGUUAUUGAAGAAUAACUUCAACUGCUAACAUUUGGUGCCGUGACCCGAAAUGAAUUGGUCUGAACAACAACAAGAAAAACUCAACUGUGUGUUGAUCCAGAAGAAAGGCUGAGCGCAACCCGCUUUGGGGAGUCAACUCUUAAUCUCCUGAUUGAUGGCAUAAGUGCUGGCUGGGAACCUAGGAGGUGCCUGUUUUUAUGGGUGGGGUGUGAUCGCCCCUCUGCUCCGUCCAAUGGGUUUUGCUACGCUUACUUCCUGCAGAAGAUUGGUGGGCAGAGCUGGGAGCAUACCUUUGUAGUAGCGGUUGCAUUAAGGAGAGGUAUAUCUAUAAUGUGUAUAACUUAUAUUAUCAUCUACAUUUAUGAGUAUUUCUGUUGAAUGAUGUGGCUAUGCAAAAUCACUGGAUGUUUUUGGAACUAGUGAAUCUAAUACGCCAAUGUAAACUCAGAUUUGAUAUAAACUUUAUCAAACAAAA